ACAGAUGGUCGCUGCACAUUUGUGAUGAAUGUGGAGAGGAAAGUCCGAGCAUCUAAAGAACAUGGUGCCAGUUAACGGCUGGUGAAGGCGACUUCAAGGAAAGUGCAACAGAAAUAGACUUCCACGAAAGUGGUAAAGGUGGAAAGGUAGGGCAAGAGCCUACCGGGGUGCUGGCAACAGCGCUCGCUCUGUAAACCCCACUUGAUGCAAGGUUAAGUCUUUCGCACAUGUGUGUUCUUUCACGCGAAAGCAAAAAUACCGCUUGAACUUGUUGGCGACAGCAAGUCUGGAUAGAUGACCAUCCAAGACAGAACUCGGCUUACAGUUUGGCUGG
rnacentral:RNase_P_RNA from 1 species